GCGAGAGUGAUGGAAUGGCAGACAUGACGGACUUAAAAUCCGUUGCCAAUAUUGGCGUGAGGAUUCAAAUCCCUCCUUUCGCACCA
rnacentral:tRNA from 1 species